rnacentral:rRNA from 1 species
GCUGAAGCCAGUCGAAGAUACCAGCUGGCUGCAACUGUUUAUUAAAAACACAGCACUGUGCAAACACGAAAGUGGACGUAUACGGUGUGACGCCUGCCCGGUGCUGGAAGGUUAAUUGAUGGGGUUAGCGUAAGCGAAGCUCCUGAUCGAAGCCCCAGUAAACGGCGGCCGUAACUAUAACGGUCCUAAGGUAGCGAAAUUCCUUGUCGGGUAAGUUCCGACCUGCACGAAUGGCGUAAUGAUGGCCAGGCUGUCUCCACCCGAGACUCAGUGAAAUUGAACUCGCUGUGAAGAUGCAGUGUACCCGCGGCAAGACGGAAAGACCCCGUGAACCUUUACUAUAGCUUGACACUGAACAUUGAGCCUUGAUGUGUAGGAUAGGUGGGAGGCUUUGAAGUGUGGACGCCAGUCUGCAUGGAGCCAACCUUGAAAUACCACCCUUUAACGUUUGAUGUUCUAACCUAGGCCCAUAAACUGGGUCGGGGACCGUGUCUGGUGGGUAGUUUGACUGGGGCGGUCUCCUCCUAAAGAGUAACGGAGGAGCACGAAGGUUGGCUAAGCAUGGUCGGACAUCAUGCGGUUAGUGCAAAGGCAUAAGCCAGCUUGACUGCGAGAGUGACGGCUCGAGCAGGUACGAAAGUAGGUCUUAGUGAUCCGGUGGUUCUGAAUGGAAGGGCCAUCGCUCAACGGAUAAAAGGUACUCCGGGGAUAACAGGCUGAUACCGCCCAAGAGUUCAUAUCGACGGCGGUGUUUGGCACCUCGAUGUCGGCUCAUCACAUCCUGGGGCUGAAGUAGGUCCCAAGGGUAUGGCUGUUCGCCAUUUAAAGUGGUACGCGAGCUGGGUUUAGAACGUCGUGAGACAGUUCGGUCCCUAUCUGCCGUGGGCGUUGGAAGAUUGAGAGGGGUUGCUCCUAGUACGAGAGGACCGGAGUGAACGCACCACUGGUGUUCGGGUUGUCAUGCCAAUGGCAUUGCCCGGUAGCUAAGUGCGGAAGAGAUAACCGCUGAAAGCAUCUAAGCGGGAAACUUGCCUCGAGAUGAGUCUUCCCUGUCGCUUUAAGCGACCUAAAGGAACGUUUAAGACUAAGACGUUGAUAGGCUGGGUGUGUAAGCGUAGCGAUACGUUGAGCUAACCAGUACUAAUGAACCGUGAGGCUUAACCUG